CACCGCGGUUAUACGAGGGGCUCAAGUUAAUAGACAACGGCGUAAAGAGUGGUUAGGGAAAUGUUUAAACUAAAGCCGAACGCCCUCAGAGCUGUCGAACGCUUACGAGCCAAGAAGCCCCAUUACGAAAGUAGCUUUAUUUUACCUGACCCCACGAAAGCUGAGAAA
rnacentral:rRNA from 1 species